GACUCUGUGUGUGUGUCAUGGGGGGUGCUCUGCAGUGGGAACAGGGACAAUUCUCCAACUUUGGGCAGUCGAGAGCCUGGGUGAGAUAAGGGCCGUUAAAGCCCUUUGUGAAGGAGAAAGGGGAGUUUCACGGUGUUGAGCACCAAGGAAUUCUAAACUUUGCUAAAACAUCUAGUCUGCAGAAACCAGAAAUGGUCGGGGCGAAGAGACAGGAGAAAUUCGGAGAGUGGUCACUAUUGGGCAGGAAUCGGAGGAGCGGGAGGCAGGUCGGGGGAUCCUGCUGUCUGUGUGGGGCCCUGGCUGUGUAAUCUCCUCACUGGGAAGUGUCAGUGAGGCCCGAAUCUCACACGCUCCUUUGUCUCCUUUGGGUCUCACAGGAGCUCAUUGAGGAGCUGCCUGAUAACUCUCCACCCGGCGCCGUCCUCGCUAACUCCCUGAUUGCUGUGGGCAACCUCAGGAUCUGCCUAGGGUCUUGCCAGACCUCCUGGACGCCAUGCUGGGGAACCUGCUGGCAGAGUCCCCAGACACCGACAGGCUCCAGUACAUCUUGGAGCUGAGCCCGAUGAGAGGGGUGGGGGCAAUUUUACCCUCACUCUUAGAUCCAUUUUCCAGUCUGUCCUCCUAGCCGGGCCCCCAGUGGGCAUCCUUGGUCAGGGCAGUCAGUGCAAUGCCUCCUUUCCCCACAGCACAUUAACUACUGGAUCGUGUCCAGGGUGCCGCGAGAGAGAGCCAGGGCCGUUAAGAGCAGCACGGCCCUGCUCAGAUCCACCAUCACCCUCCCUGAGUUUGACAACUCAGCGGAAUUCCCCAGGAUGGGUCACCACAUGGCACAGCUAGCUCUGUCCGUCAGUGACCCAGCCAAGGACAUCAGCCGGCAGACCAAGGAGGGGGGUUACCAGCUGCUGCUGCACCAGAGGGGUAAGGAACCCAGCUGGGAAAUGGCACCCGCUAGAAGAGUGAGACUGGGACCCCAGCCAAUUUCUCUCAGACUGACCCCGGCUGGAGGAUGAGUCUCUCUGUCUCUUUCUGUGAUCCACACCACGCCCUGCAAUUCUGUUGGGCCGGGCAUGCAGCGAGGACUCUGCCCACUGUGCUGCCACCAAUGGGAUUGGAAGGACACAAGCCCUGCAACCAGAAGGACAAAUGUGUGUGUGUCUCUCUCCCUAUCACCUACUCCCUCCUGGGGGAAACCCAGCAGCUGAUGGGGGACAAGGUGAGCAGCUGCAUUGGACUCAGGAGAUUGGGGCGGGGCCCAGGCCUCAUUCCCAUCCUGUGGCCAUUCGCUGGCCUGGCACAAGGAGCCUGGUGGGGAAUGAAAGGGAGAGCAGGUGCUCCUGGGAAGGGAGAUGAAUUCACCUCCAUGAGCAGGAGCGAGCCAGCUUGUCCCCGGAGCAGCUCCACCCAGCUCUUUAGCCAGGCUAAUUAAUGACAAGCUUUGCCUCAUCCCAGACUUAUGUUCUUAGGACAGGGUGCUAUCGCUCUUGGGAAGGGCAGGAUAGUCCCCCAAGUGCCCUCUGCGAGACUCUCCUGUCCCACAGGGCCGCACCCAAUUCCUAGUGGUCUGGUGUCUGUGUCACUCGAGCCACCACCCAGAGUUGCUCCCAUCACUGGCAGCCUGGGAGGCCAAGGACUGACGGGUGAUGGCGUCUGACCAGGCAGGGCUGAGGCACAUGGGCAGGGGACGCUUGUCCUGCUACUGGCAAG